UCUGAUGGGGCGGGCCAUCGGGGGUGAAUGAACACUGCGCUUGCUGGCUUUGAUGAAAUCAGAAGA
rnacentral:sRNA from 1 species